rnacentral:lncRNA from 1 species
GUUUAAAAGGCAGAAAACAUGCCUGCAGAACCAAACUGCUGUAUUGAUUUACUACAAGAGUUGCUAUGUCUACCCUGGAAGGGUUUAACAUCUCUGAUACGAGAAAUUUUAAUUUAUCAGGAAAUUUCUGAUGAUGUUGCAAUUUGUGACCAUCCAACUGAGAAGACCUCAAAUUCAGACGUUCCGCCAGCAGAACAGAUGGCUUUGAGCUGUGGAACUCUGAAGAGCCUAAGGUUUCUCCUUCACAAAGGUACAGAAGGCUCCGCAUAACAUGAGAUCCAUAACAGUUGCACAUUACAUCAACAGGAUUUACCACGAUUUCCUGGAAGGAGGAGAUAAGUAUUUACAUUACUCCACAAAGCCUAGGUAGAAAAAAUAGAAGUAAAGCAACUUCUCAGACACCAUUUGGCAUAUAUAAUGCCUUCCUUCACUACUAAAAAGUAAAAACACGGUGCUAAAACAAAUCAACUGAAUAUUGUAAAUACUAUCAAUAUGGAUUCAAACCCUAAUGCAAAGUGCAACUUUAUUUCACUAUUUGUAUGGGGGGGGGGGGAUGAGUUUUGGAAUAGUGAUUUUUUUGGAGAAUGUGAUUAAAAAGUAGAAAAAAUUUUGGAUUUUCGUACCGAAUAUUUUAUUGUGAGAAUGUGUGAUUGAAAAUGAGUAUGAAAAAUAAAAAAUAAAAAUAAAAAUAAAAAUAAAAAUAAAAAAAGUUUUGUUUUAAUGGUUGUCAAAUGGGAGCUCAAUGUUUGGACAGGUAAAUAUCUACUCUAGAUUUGUUCAAACUUGUUCCAAAGUACAGUACAAAUUACACUUUCAUUUUGGUGCAUCAAUUUCAACUUUGCUUUCAUCAACUGAACUCAGUGAGAGAAAAAAAGGGAAAAAAAAAAAAAAAAAACCAUUAGAGUAUAUAAUAAUAUUGCACAAGUUAAAGGAAUCUUUAAAUCAACAGCGGAAAAAAAUGAUUGUUCAAAACCGUACUAACAAUGAAAUAAAUGUAGAAAAGGGAGGAAAUCAGAAAAAAAUGAUCUCACCUCCAUUAAAUGGCUGUAUGCAUUUUCUUCCACUAAACUUAGAAUAUUUUUUAGUUCACUCGCCUUCAUAAAGUUCCACCCCGAGCCAGUUUCAGCACUGAAACCAAGGAGGACUGGAAUUACAUGGAGCAACUCCUGUUCAUGACCAGCUAAUAAUUUCAAAGCAGUCUGUCAUUGAAUAAAUUUAACUCAUCAUCAUUUAGACUACAUCAGGGGACCAAAGCAUCACAAUUAACAUAACAUCAGCGCCAUUUUUUCUGUUUAUUUGAUUUAUGAAAGCAGCCUUCAACAUGGCCUGCUUAUGACUAUUGUAUCAGAAGAAACACGUAUCAUUAAAUGUAGAAAAACUUCUAGAUUCACCUACUUUUAGGGAUUAAAGAAGUGCGUGUGAAACUGGUUAACUAUAUAAGUAGAAAUUUGUCCUGAACAAACACAUGCAAAAGCUUGCAGUCUUUAUUUCCAAGAACUACAAGUUUAAGAUACUAAAUCAGUAUAUGAAGUUUAAAAGGCAGAAAACAUGCCUGCAGAACCAAACUGCUGUAUUGAUUUACUACAAGAGUUGCUAUGUCUACCCUGCAAGGGUUUAACAUCUCUGAUACGAGAAAUUUUAAUUUAUCAGGAAAUUUCUGAUGAUGUUGCAAUUUGUGACCAUCCAACUGAGAAGACCUCAAAUUCAGACGUUCUGCCAGCAGAACAGAUGGCUUUGAGCUGUGGAACUCUGAAGAGCCUAAGGUUUCUCCUUCACAAAGGUACAGAAGGCUCCGCAUAACAUGAGAUCCAUAACAGUUGCACAUUACAUCAACAGGAU